rnacentral:ncRNA from 2 species
UAAAUAUUCAGUGUUACUGGUGCCCUUAAAAGGGAGAAUAGGGAACUGGGUGAGAAUCCCGGACGGACCCACCACUGUAAAGAGGAGACUUAUGCAUUGCCACUGGGAAACUGGGAAGGCGCAAAAAGUUGAUGACUCUGAGUCAGGAGACCUGCCUGUAACCUAGUAAAUCA